UUUUGACGUUGUUCUUUAGCCAGAGCACCUGUGGACCGAAGCCCCCGGUUACCCCAGAGUAAGAGAAUCAUGGUUCAUAUUUUGUCGACGCCCCUAAGGUCCGUCACAAAACGUGGUGUUAACGGUGGGCAACUCGAAAGUCGCCAUUAAAUAAAAAGUUCGCGGGACGCAAAAUUCAAGCCUAAGUUUUACCCCAGGCUCUCCUUCUGAGACGCCACCAGCCGAAGCCAGUGGACUUGAGGUGUGGUAAUGAUCCUUCCGCAGGUUCACCUACGGAAA
rnacentral:misc_RNA from 1 species